UUCGUUGCCUUCUCUCUGAUGGCUGUCUAGGUUCGUUGCCUUCUCUCUGGCGGCUGUCUAGGUUCGUUGCCUUCUCUGGCGGCUGUCUAGGUUCGGUGCCUUCUCUCUGAUGGCUGUCUAGGAUCGUUGCCUUCUCUCUGGCGGCUGUCUAGGUUCGUUGCCUUCUCUGGCGGCUGUCUAGGUUCGGUGCCUUCUCUCUGAUGGCUGUCUAGGUUCGGUGCCUUCUCUCUGAUGGCUGUCUAGGUUCGGUGCCUUCUCUCUGGCGGCUGUCUAGGUUCGGUGCCUUCUCUCUGGCGGCUGUCUAGGUUCGUUGCCUUCUCUCUGGCGGCUGUCUAGGUUCGGUGCCUUCUCUCUGGCGGCUGUCUAGGUUCGGUGCCUUCUCUCUGAUGGCUGUCUAGGUUCGGUGCCUUCUCUCUGGCGGCUGUCUAGGUUCGGUGCCUUCUCUCUGAUGGCUGUCUAGGUUCGUUGCCUUCUCUCUGGCGGCUGUCUAGGUUUGUUGCCUUCUCUCUGGCGGCUGUCUAGGUUCGUUGCCUUCUCUCUGGCGGCUGUCUAGGUUUGUUGCCUUCUCUCUGGCGGCUGUCUAGGUUUGUUGCCUUCUCUCUGGCGGCUGUCUAGGUUCGGUGCCUUCUCUCUGAUGGCUGUCUAGGUUCGGUGCCUUCUCUCUGGCGGCUGUCUAGGUUUGUUGCCUUCUCUCUGAUGGCUGUCUAGGUUCGGUGCCUUCUCUCUGAUGGCUGUCUAGGUUCGGUGCCUUCUCUCUGAUGGCUGUCUAGGUUCGGUGCCUUCUCUCUGAUGGCUGUCUAGGUUCGUUGCCUUCUCUCUGGCGGCUGUCUAGGUUCGUUGCCUUCUCUCUGGCGGCUGUCUAGGUUCGUUGCCUUCUCUCUGGCGGCUGUCUAGGUUCGUUGCCUUCUCUCUGGCGGCUGUCUAGGUUCGUUGCCUUCUCUCUGGCGGCUGUCUAGGUUCGUUGCCUUCUCUCUGGCGGCUGUCUAGGUUCGUUGCCUUCUCUCUGAUGGCUGUCUAGGUUCGUUGCCUUCUCUCUGGCGGCUGUCUAGGUUCGUUGCCUUCUCUCUGGCGGCUGUCUAGGUUCGGUGCCUUCUCUCUGAUGGCUGUCUAGGUUCGUUGCCUUCUCUCUGAUGGCUGUCUAGGUUCGUUGCCUUCUCUCUGAUGGCUGUCUAGGUUCGUUGCCUUCUCUCUGGCGGCUGUCUAGGUUCGUUGCCUUCUCUCUGGCGGCUGUCUAGGUUCGUUGCCUUCUCUCUGAUGGCUGUCUAGGUUCGUUGCCUUCUCUCUGGCGGCUGUCUAGGUUCGUUGCCUUCUCUCUGAUGGCUGUCUAGGUUCGUUGCCUUCUCUCUGAUGGCUGUCUAGGUUCGUUGCCUUCUCUCUGGCGGCUGUCUAGGUUCGUUGCCUUCUCUCUGGCGGCUGUCUAGGUUCGUUGCCUUCUCUCUGGCGGCUGUCUAGGUUCGUUGCCUUCUCUCUGACGGCUGUCUAGGUUCGUUGCCUUCUCUCUGGCGGCUGUCUAGGUUCGUUGCCUUCUCUCUGACGGCUGUCUAGGUUCGUUGCCUUCUCUCUGGCGGCUGUCUAGGUUCGUUGCCUUCUCUCUGGCGGCUGUCUAGGUUCGGUGCCUUCUCUCUGAUGGCUGUCUAGGUUCGGUGCCUUCUCUCUGGCGGCUGUCUAGGUUUGUUGCCUUCUCUCUGGCGGCUGUCUAGGUUCGGUGCCUUCUCUCU